rnacentral:rRNA from 1 species
CACGUAGUUAGCCGGAGCUUAUUUAUAGUACCGUCAUUUAUUCUUCCUAUAAUUUCGAAGUUUACACCCGAAAGACUUCAUCCUUCACGCGGCGUUGCUGGGUCAGGCUUUCGCCCAUUGCCCAAAAUUCCCG